UGUGAACGCUGGCGGUAGGCCUACCCCUGCCAAGCGAACGGCAGCACAGUAAGAGCUUGCUCUUACGGGUGGCGGGUGGCGGACGGGUGGGGAAUACAUCGGGAUCUACUUUUUCGUGGGGGGUAACGUAGGGGAACUUACGCUAAUACCGCAUACGACCUACGGGUGGAAGCAGGGGAUCUUCGGACCUUGCGCGAAUGAAUGAGCCGAUGUCGGAUUAGCUAGUUGGCGGGGUAAAGGCCCACCAAGGCGACGAUCCGUAGCUGGUCUGAGAGGAUGAUCAGCCACACUGGAACUGAGACACGGUCCAGACUCCUACGGGAGGCAGCAGUGGGGAAUAUUGGACAAUGGGCGCAAGCCUGAUCCAGCCAUACCGCGUGGGUGAAGAAGGCCUUCGGGUUGUAAAGCCCUUUUGUUGGGAAAGAAAGGCAGCAGGUUAAUACCCCGCUGUUCUGACGGUACCCAAAGAAUAAGCACCGGCUAACUUCGUG
rnacentral:rRNA from 1 species